rfam:Sorex araneus cont1.065998, whole genome shotgun sequence.
UGGUGCUGUGCUCUUACUAACCCAGACCCUACUAACCCUGGUUUCUCUUACUAACCCCAGCCCUGCCGAGCUCUGGGC